AUUGAACGCUGGCGGCAGGCCUAACACAUGCAAGUCGAACGAGUGGCGGACGGGUGAGUAAUGUAUGGGAAACUGCCCGCUGGAGGGGGAUAACUACUGGAAACGGUAGCUAAUACCGCAUACCAUCGGAUGUGCCCAGAUGGGAUUAGCUAGUAGGUGGGGAAACGGCUCACCUAGGCGACGAUCCCUAGCUGGUCUGAGAGGAUGACCAGCCAACCUGGAACUGAGACACGGUCCAGACUCCUACGGGAGGCAGCAGUGGGGAAUAUUGCACAAUGGGCGCAAGCUGGAUGCAGCCAUGCCGCGUGUAUGAAGAAGGCCUUCGGGUUGUAAAGUACUUUCAGCGAGGAGGCGUUACUCGCAGAAGAAGCACCGGCUAACUCCGUGCCAGCAGCCGCGGUAAUUC
rnacentral:rRNA from 1 species